GAUGAACGCUGGCGGCGUGCCUAACACAUGCAAGUCGAACGGAGUCCAGCCUUUAAGACCUUCGGGUCAAAGAGGGGAAGACUGAGUGGCGGACGUGUGAGUAACACGUGGGCAACCUGGCUCAUAGAGGGGGAUAACAGAGAGAAAUUUCUGCUAAUACCGCAUAAGCACACACUGCCGCAUGGCAGAGGGUGAAAAGAGAAUCGCUAUGAGAUGGACCCGCGUCUGAUUAGCCAGUUGGCAGGGUAAGAGCCUACCAAAGCGACGAUCAGUAGCCGAUCUGAGAGGAUGAACGGCCACAUUGGGACUGAGACACGGCCCAAACUCCUACGGGAGGCAGCAGUGGGGGAUAUUGCACAAUGGGGGGAACCCUGAUGCAGCGACGCCGCGUGAGUGAAGAAGUAUUUCGGUAUGUAAAGCUCUAUCAGCAGGGAAGAUAAUGACAGUACCUGAAGAAGAAGCCCCGGCUAACUACGUG
rnacentral:rRNA from 1 species